GUGUCGCGACAUUAUCUUCGACAUCUCAUAUCUGAUACCAGAAUGAGUGAUCACAUAGCAAAAAGAGUGACUCAAAAAGGCUUAGGGAUCACCAAGUUAUGAGCCUUUGAAGUAAUGAAAAAAAAAAUAGGCAAAAAAAUAAUGAAUAAAAAUGGGUCUGGGGUGAGGGGGAUUCAAACCCCAGACCUCUUGCACACCCAAAGCCUUAACACACACACUCUAACCGCUGGGGCGGUGAUACAUCCAUUAACUUAUUUAUAAACAUUAAUAUAUAUAUAAUAAAAAGAUUCCAGAAACUGGAAAAUGACAUAA
rnacentral:lncRNA from 1 species